GCGGCAAAAGGGUGAGUAAUACAUGGGUGAUGUGCCCUUGACUCCGGCAUAGCUUCGGGAAACUGAAGGUAAUUCCGGAUAGUCCUACUGGAUUUCAUGGUCUUGUAGGUAAAGGUGGGGAUCCUUCGGGACCCACAGGUCAGGGAGCGGCUCAUGCGCUAUCAGCUUGUUGGUGAGGUAACGGCUCACCAAGGCUACGACGGCUAGGCGGUCUGAGAGGAUGACCGCCCACAUCGGGACUGAGACACUGCCCGGACUCCUACGGGAGGCUGCAGUCGAGAAUCAUCCGCAAUGGGCGAAAGCCUGACGGUGCGACGCCGCGUGAGGGACGAAGGCUCUAGGGUUGUAAACCUCUUUCGCCUGUUAAGAAUGUGCUGGUGUUAAUAGCAUUAGUGCUGACAAAGGCAGGUAAAGAAGCACCGGCUAACUCCGUGCCAGCAGCCGCGGUAAGACGGAGGGUGCAAGCGUUACUCGGAAUUACUGGGCGUAAAGGGUCCGUAGGCGGCCUGGAAAGUUGGAUGUGAAAUCCCACAGCUUAACUGUGGAACUGCGUCCAAAACUAUCAGGCUAGAGGAUGGUAGGGGACAGUGGAACUCAAGGUGGAGCGGUGAAAUACGUAGAGAUCUUGAGGAGCGCCGGCGGCGAAAGCGACUGUCUGGGCCAUUCCUGACGCUGAGGGACGAAAGCUAGGGGAGCGAACGGGAUUAGAUACCCCGGUAGUCCUAGCUGUAAACGAUGAC
rnacentral:rRNA from 1 species